rnacentral:rRNA from 1 species
GUGUCAGCAGCCGCGGUAAUACGUAGGGUGCGAGCGUUAAUCGGAAUUACUGGGCGUAAAGGGUGCGCAGGCGGCCCCGCAAGUCAGACGUGAAAUCCCCGAGCUCAACUUGGGAAUGGCGUUUGAAACUACGGGGCUGGAGUGUGGCAGAGGGAGGUGGAAUUCCACGUGUAGCGGUGAAAUGCGUAGAGAUGUGGAGGAACACCAAUGGCGAAGGCAGCCUCCUGGGCCAACACUGACGCUCAUGCACGAAAGCGUGGGGAGCAAACAGGAUUAGAUACCCCCGUAGUCC